CUUCAAAGCACUGACUAAGUACAAUAAAUCACUGUGAACAUAAAUCGUGUACACCCCCCGGAAAGUUUACUCUAUGACUGACUGACUGACUGACUGACUGACUGACUGACUGACUGACUGACUGACUGACAUAUUGACGUGCCCUAUUGUAACUUAGCGUGUGCCCUAGUGUAACCUAGCUGUGCCCUAGUGUAACCUAUCAAGUUACACUAGGGCAAUUGUGCCCUUGUGUAACUUAGUGUGUGCCCUAGUGUAACCUAGCUGUGCCCUAGUGUAACCUAGCUGUGCCCUAGUGUAACCUAGCUGUGCCCUAGUGUAACCUAGCUGUGCCCCAGUGUAACCUAGCUGUACCCUUGUGUAACCUAGCCGCUGGAAACAAAAUGGCAGGCCGAAAUUGUCAUUAUUCAGUGGAAUGAAAAUAAUAUAUUACAUGUUAGUGUCUAAUGUCUUUGUAUUUUCAACUAUUUUGCUUUAAUAAUCAUAUCAAAUACGAGUGUUUCUUGUAGCAAGGUGGUAAAUCGAUAAUAUAUUGAUUCAUUUGAGUAGAAAUGGAUUUGUUCCAUGGGAUAUAAAAUAUGGGAUUGAAUUGAAACCUCAUAGACCUUGAUCAUGACUCAAGGAGAUGUAAAACGAAAGAAUUUAUUAUAUUGGAAAGCUAUUUUCUAAGAAGUGAGUUCAUGGUAAGUAAACAAGAAGUUUGUUGCUUUUUCUAUGAUAUUUGUAAUUUGUCCUUGAAGGUGUACAACUGAGUUGAAGGUGGUGUUAAAACAGCAUAUUUGCUUUAUGCAUGAGCACUGUAUUUUACUGUAUUAAAAAGCAAAAUUAAUACUGUGUGUGUGUUGACAGUUGUAAAGAAUACUUCAAGUAUUAAUUAUGCCUGACUGGUAUUUUUAAUUUGCAUUUUCAUUCACCUGGUAAAUGUUUUUUAAUAAAAGCACUGAUGCAUUGUGCACUAGCUUGUGAUAAUGUUUCAGCUUUACCGGAUAAAAGAAGAGUGCAUCACCACAAGUUUCAUAUUCUGUCUCUGUCAAGUUUAUAUAUGAUCUAAUAUAAAUGUAGUUAAAAUCUUAUAAAUAAGGUGCUCAAUAUCGAAGCAGAGAGGAUUAGUAAGAAAAGACAAACUUUGUUUAUGAUGCUUGUGAUGUUACUCUAAGUGUAUAUCCACACCAGGCAGGCCUGAUAAAUAUGCCUGGCCACGGUGGGUGUCGAAGCUACGACCUUUGGAAUACCAAGCCCAAUGCUCUGGCAACUGAGCUACACGGUCAGGUCGGGUCCGAGUAUGUGAUAUUUCGGAACUGAGUCUAGUUCCUUCGAUAUCAGUGUAAUCUAAUAAUCAUGAUAUUUGCUGUGUUGUUGUAAUGUACUCAGGUGAAUAAGAUGUUUGUGUGAUGUUACUCUGAGUGUAUAUCCACACCGGGCAGGCUUGAAAAAUAUGCCUGUCCACGGUGGGAAUCGAACCUACCAGCUUUGGAAUACUAUAGCCCAAACUGAAAGCUCUGCCAACUGAGCUACAUGCAUGGUCAGGUCGUUUUGAGUACCAGUAUGUGAUAUUUCAGAACAGAAUCUAGCUCCUUUGAUACCAAUGUAAUCUAAUAAUCAUUUUUUCUGUUGGUGUAAUGUACGUCCUCAGGUGAAUAUGAUGUUACUCUGAGUGUAUAUCCACACCGGGCAGGCUUGAAAAAUAUGCCUGGCCACAGUGAGAAUCGAACCUACUGUAUGACCUUUGGAAUACUAGGUUCGAUUCCCACCGUAUGUUCUAUUCUCACCAUGGCCAGGCAUAAAGUAACAUCACAAGCAUCUUAUUCACCUGAGUACAUUACAACAACACAGCAAACUUUGUUUACUUCAUAAGAUUGAUUAGCACUACAAAUUUGUUUUGUAUGGGUAGGCUAUGCCGGCCACACACAUCAAGUGUGGUGGGCAUAGCCUACCAUACAAAACUAGUUUGUACUGUUAAUAAAUCUUAUGAAGUAAACAAAGUUUGUCUCUUCUUAUAUAUACUGUAUAUGGUACUGCCAUGUUAAUUAGAUAUGGGUAAAAAUUAAAUGAAUAGUUGACAAGUUUUAUAGAUGGAAUUGCAGAGUAGAUUUAUAUACAAUUAACUAGCAAGUCUGCCAACAAGUUGUGUUCACACUGCUUGUCCCAAGCUGUCAACAAGUUUGGAACAAACUGUUAACAACUUGUAACAAGCUUGUUGAUAUUAUAAUCAGACUUAUUGCAAGCUUGUCCCUCCAACAAGUCUGCUACAACUUGUAACAAGCUUGUUGAUAUUAUAAUCAGACUUAUUGCAAGCUUGUCCCUCCAACAAGUCUGCUACAACUUGUAACAAGCUUGUUGAUAUUAUAAUCAGACUUGUUGCAAGGUUGUUCCAACAAGUCCAAUACAGUCAUGAUACAACAAUAUUGUUACUAGCUUGUGUCAUCAAUCUCAUAACAUUCUUGCAUGUUAUAUCACGACUGUAACAAACUUCUUAGAACAAUUUUGUAACAAGUCUGACUAUAAAAUCUUGUUACAACAACUGGGAACAAGCAGUGCGAACACAAAACUUGUCGACGGCUUGCAAACAUGCAGACUUGUAACAACUUGUUUGAAAAUGCAACUACAGGUCCCUGACAGGAAUCAAACUUGUGGUCCUAUUCAUUCGAGUGAAAUGCAAAAAAAAUUCAUAUUUACCCAUACUUGUUUAAUGCAUUUAUUUAGCAUGUAUUAGACUGCAUUAGCAGCUAAUGCAAUGUAAGGCAGUCUAAUGCAGUCUGUAAAGUAGUCUAAUGCAGUCUGUAAAGUAGUCUAAUACAUGCUAAUGCAGUGUAAUUGUAAUCUAACGAUUCAGUGUAAUGAACUGCAGGGCAAUACUGCAGUCUUAUGAAGUGUAAUACAGUUUAAUGCAUGCUAAUGCAGUCUAAUACAUUGCAUUAUCUUUCAUUAGACUGCAUUAGCCUGCAAUUAGUAGGUGUUUUACUAUAGAUUUCUUAUGGCAGCCAGCAGUUUUGAAUUUUAAUAAGUUCAAUAAUUUUGAAACUGAUUUGAAUGAAAACAGCUGGCUACCAUGUAGAAUCUAUAGUAAAACACAUGGCUAUACCAUACCAGAGAUAUUAUUUACAUAAGGAAUAGCUUACUGUACACAGUUGCCAGUGUCCAGCUACUGUUUGGAAGUCGGAAAAAGGCAUGAAAAAAGGUGUCACCAUAUGCUUUGUUGGUAUGCAUAAAAAAGCAUGGUGGUGUACGGUUAUGUGUAUUCAGUUGUAUGAAAGUGCUUCAUCUGUCAUGCAAGAUGUUGCAUCUAUAACUUGUCUCUUUAAUAAAAUAUAAUGUUUGCUUUUCCGUUGCAGCUUCUAUAUAGACUGGAACACAAGUAGAUGAAACCAAAGUAAAGGCAGCGAUCACCAAGCUGUUAAAUACUGACAGAGCCAAGAAGGUUAACUGUGUAAACAUUGAGACUGAACAUUGGUUUUAAAUGGAUAAAAAGCUGUGUUUUUAUAUUUAUAAGCUUGUAUUUAUUUAUUGUAUAUCUGUGUUUAUUGUUCUGUUGAAAAUAUAAAUAACUGUAAUAUUG